CUUCCAACUCUACAAUCCUUUGAUUCUAUGAUUCUCUCCCUUUAGGCAUCUCCAUUUAUCUUAUGCUGUCCACCUGUACACAGCUUGGUUUAGUAUUUCAGCUUGUCAAACAACAGCGAAUGAGCAACACCCGUAUUGUUCCUCUGACUCUGGAAAAGGUACAUGUGUUUUUACUUGUUAAAAUUAUUGGCAAAAGCAGAUAGCCAAAUGAACCAAACUAGAUGGUUCCUUUUUCCUAGCUACUUUCAGACAAGACUUUUGCAAGUGAUAAAAGCAC